UGUGUGUGUGUUGUAAGUCGCUCUGGAUAAGAGCGUCUGCUAAAUGACUUAAA
rfam:Salmo salar isolate Sally breed double haploid chromosome ssa02, whole genome shotgun sequence.